UCCAGACUCCUACGGGAGGCAGCAGUGGGGGAUAUUGCACAAUGGGGGGAACCCUGAUGCAGCGACGCCGCGUGGGUGAAGGAGUGCUUCGGCAUGUAAAGCCCUAUCGGCAGGGAAGAAGCAAGACGGUACCUGACUAAGAAGCCCCGGCUAACUACGUGCCAGCAGCCGCGGUAAUACGUAGGGGGCGAGCGUUAUCCGGGUUCACUGGGUGUAAAGGGAGCGUAGACGGCCAUGCAAGCCAGGGGUGGAAGCCCGGGGCUCAACCCCGGGACUGCAUUUGGAACUGUGUGGCUGGAGUGUCGGAGAGGCAGGCGGAAUUCCUAGUGUAGUGGUGAAAUGCGUAGAUAUUAGGAGGAACACCAGUGGCGAAGGCGGCCUGCUGGACGAUGACUGACGUUGAGGCUCGAAAGCGUGGGGAGCAAACAGGAUUAGAUACCCGUGUAUA
rnacentral:rRNA from 1 species